rnacentral:lncRNA from 1 species
UGUAGAUGGACACAAUACAUUUAUUUAUUUAUUUUUAUGUGGUGCUGAGGAUUGAGCCCAGGGCCUCACACGUGUGAGGCAGGUGUUCUGCCACUGAGCUACAACCCCAGCCCCUCAAAUAUUUCUUGUAGACCAACCCCUGUGUCAAAAAAUUGUCAUUUUCCCAUUAGCCCUCACAAUAACUCUUUAGUUAAGAUUACUGUCACUCCCAUUUUAUAGACGAGGCAUCUAAGCCCAGAGAAUUUUGCAUCUUACCUAGGGUCACAGAAAACAUUACAGCAGUGAUUUGAAUCCACUUGUCUGCCUCCAAAGCCUCAUCUCUGAACUACUUGGCUACUGAGAAGUGACUUGGGCCAGGCUUAAAUGUGUCUGCUGCUCCCUGCCAGCCUAUUCCCACCUAUCUGUGGCCUGGACCCCAUUCUGCCCUGGAAUCAACGCAGGCUUGACCUGACAUGGGAGUUCCCUCACCAACAGUGUGAAAGACCUCUUACCAGUACACGUAGCAGGAGAGAUCAUUAUGUACCUGGAACUAUUCUUAGCAUUUUACAGCAAUCCCUUCUUAUCUGCAGAAGAUAUGUUCCAAUACCCCCAGUGGACGCCUAAAACCACAGACAGUACUGAACCUAUCUAUACUGUGUUCUUUCCUAUACAUAUGUACCUAUGAUGAAGUUUAAUUUGUAAAUUAGACACAGUAAAAGAUUAACAACCAUAGCUACUAAUAAAAUAGGAAAAAUUGUAACAAUAUACUAUAAUAACAUUUUUAAAAAUUAAACAAAUUUUCCAUUUAUUUAUUUAUUUAUCUAUUUAUUUAUUUGGGGUAAUGUUGAAUUGAACCUAGGGGCAUUUCAUGACUGAGUUAUAUCUCCAGCUUUCUUAUUUUUUAUUC